rnacentral:rRNA from 1 species
UACGGAGGGUGCAAGCGUUAUCCGGAUUCACUGGGUUUAAAGGGUGCGUAGGUGGGCAGGUAAGUCCGUGGUGAAAUCUCCAAGCUUAACUUGGAAACUGCCGUGGAUACUAUCUGUCUUGAAUACCGUGGAGGUGAGCGGAAUAUGUCAUGUAGCGGUGAAAUGCUUAGAUAUGACAUAGAACACCAAUUGCGAAGGCAGCUCACUACACGCUUAUUGACACUGAGGCACGAAAGCGUGGGGAUCAAACAGG